CCAUUUCAUACUUUUAGACUUUCAUUCUUUUUUCACUUAGCCGACCACCUCACUCAUGGCUUUUCAUCAAAAAAUAUCAACAAUUCCUCAGGCAGCCCACAACCUUAGCUCUUUGCGAUGACCCUCGUCAUCCCUUCUUUGCGACAUCUCACAACUCUUCAUCCUUUGUCCUCCCUCCUUGGAGUUGCUGUUUGAAAAAGAAUAUGCCACUGCCAAGGACAUUUGGAUUUUUUUUGCUUGUUGCUGCCAAUAUCAAUAGACCAAUGCAUAUUUCCUUUAAUGCUAUUUGAAUAUUUCUUUUUGCUUGUUGUUGUUGAUGUUGCUACGAAUAUCAGGAGACUAAUUUUGCUUGAGUUCUUGGGUUCUUGAUUUUUUUGUUUGUUGGCUGAUCAAUGUAUAUUUCUUUUAAUU
rnacentral:sRNA from 1 species